GGAGUUAGCCGGUGCUUCUUCUGUGAGUGAUGUCCUUCCUGCCGGUUAUUGACCCGCAGGCCUUCUUCCUCACUGAAAGUGCUUUACAACCCGAAGGCCUUCUUCACACACGCGGCAUGGCUGGAUCAGGGUUGCCCCCAUUGUCCAAUAUUCCCCACUGCUGCCUCCCGUAGGAGUCUGGGCCGUGUCUCAGUCCCAGUGUGUCUGAUCAUCCUCUCAGACCAGCUACGGAUCGUCGCCUUGGUGAGCCGUUACCUCACCAACCAGCUAAUCCGACAUAGGCUCAUCCGAUAGCGCGAGGCCCGAAGGUCCCCCGCUUUCCCCCGUAGGGCGUAUGCGGUAUUAGCCUGGGUUUCCCCAGGUUAUCCCCCACUACCGGGCAGAUUCCUAUGCAUUACUCACCCGUCCGCCGCUCGCCACCAGGGAGCAAGCUCCCCGUGCUGCCGCUCGACUUGCAUGUGUUAGGCCUGCCGCCAGCGUUCAAUCUGAGCCAGGAUCAAACUCUGA
rnacentral:rRNA from 1 species